rnacentral:rRNA from 1 species
AGAGUUUGAUCCUGGCUCAGGAUGAACGCUGGCGGCAUGCCUAAUACAUGCAAGUCGAACGAAGUUUCGAGGAAGCUUGCUUCCAAAGAGACUUAGUGGCGAACGGGUGAGUAACACGUAGGUAACCUGCCCAUGUGUCCGGGAUAACUGCUGGAAACGGUAGCUAAAACCGGAUAGGUAUACAGAGCGCAUGCUCAGUAUAUUAAAGCGCCCAUCAAGGCGUGAACAUGGAUGGACCUGCGGCGCAUUAGCUAGUUGGUGAGGUAACGGCCCACCAAGGCGAUGAUGCGUAGCCGGCCUGAGAGGGUGACCGGCCACAUUGGGACUGAGACACGGCCCAAACUCCUACGGGAGGCAGCAGUAGGGAAUUUUCGUCAAUGGGGGAAACCCUGAACGAGCAAUGCCGCGUGAGUGAAGAAGGUCUUCGGAUCGUAAAGCUCUGUUGUAAGUGAAGAACGGCUCAUAGAGGAAAUGCUAUGGGAGUGACGGUAGCUUACCAGAAAGCCACGGCUAACUACGUGCCAGCAGCCGCGGUAAUACGUAGGUGGCAAGCGUUAUCCGGAAUCAUUGGGCGUAAAGGGUGCGUAGGUGGCGUACUAAGUCUGUAGUAAAAGGCAAUGGCUCAACCAUUGUAAGCUAUGGAAACUGGUAUGCUGGAGUGCAGAAGAGGGCGAUGGAAUUCCAUGUGUAGCGGUAAAAUGCGUAGAUAUAUGGAGGAACACCAGUGGCGAAGGCGGUCGCCUGGUCUGUAACUGACACUGAGGCACGAAAGCGUGGGGAGCAAAUAGGAUUAGAUACCCUAGUAGUCCACGCCGUAAACGAUGAGAACUAAGUGUUGGAGGAAUUCAGUGCUGCAGUUAACGCAAUAAGUUCUCCGCCUGGGGAGUAUGCACGCAAGUGUGAAACUCAAAGGAAUUGACGGGGGCCCGCACAAGCGGUGGAGUAUGUGGUUUAAUUCGAAGCAACGCGAAGAACCUUACCAGGCCUUGACAUGGAAACAAAUACCCUAGAGAUAGGGGGAUAAUUAUGGAUCACACAGGUGGUGCAUGGUUGUCGUCAGCUCGUGUCGUGAGAUGUUGGGUUAAGUCCCGCAACGAGCGCAACCCUUGUCGCAUGUUACCAGCAUCAAGUUGGGGACUCAUGCGAGACUGCCGGUGACAAACCGGAGGAAGGUGGGGAUGACGUCAAAUCAUCAUGCCCC